rnacentral:lncRNA from 1 species
UUGUCUCAAAUCAAGUUUAAAUGAUAAGCAGUGAAUACAAAAUACUUAAAAACCAUCCUAGAACUCGGUGUCACAAGUGCAUGAGCAAUUUCUAAAAUAAAUCUAAUAAAGUACAACAAAUGUCCGGAACACAAAAUUGGAUCGAAAAUAAAUACAGAUAAUUGAAAGAGACUUUGAUGGACGCGGGUCGCCUUGAGAAUUGCAGCUCACCUAAGUCUCUGUAUCAACCAUGCUGCUACGCCCAGUAGGCCAUUAGAGUUACAUAUACCUGUGCAACAAAAACUGCACAGAAGUGUAAUAUGAGUAUGAAAACAACAUGUACUCAAUAAGUAUCUCGUCUAAUCUAGAAGAAGUAGAGACGAGAUGGUCAACUUCGACACUUAUUAGUGGUCCAAUAAUAAUCUCAAUAAUACAUUAAAUCGUGAAUUUCUAUAACAUGAUUUUUACCAAAUAGAAGGAAACAAGUAAACAAUUAUUCCUUUUAUAGGAAAUUUCUAAAAUUUCCUUUAUUAUUAUUUUUCAUAUAUUCUCAAGCCAUGAAGAGGCAAUAAUAACUUUAAUCAGUUCAAGGCAGCAAUAUAAGCAUGCGCAAAUCAUGCCGAGGUGUACGGCCCGCUCCAACAAAAAAUAAAUUGUGUACUUGCCGAGGGUCGACGGCGCGCCUAUAGAUGCAUCUAUUUAAUCUGCCGAGGCGUUCGGCCCGUUCCAAAAUUAAACACACACAUAUGGUCAAUCAAGCAGUCAACAAGGAACAAUCAUCCACAGUUAAGCCAAUGCUCCUUUAAAGAUUUUCUGAAAAUGAAGUUUAUUAUUUUGUGGAAAUUAAUUUACUAACUCGAGGUGAUUUAAGCGAUUCAAAUGUCGAUAAGUUUACGAUUAAUCCAAGUAUAGCAUGCUUUUAGGUCCUAAAUUAUCCGGACAAUAGCAUAAUAGUAGCAAUGCACGGACUCUCGUCACCUCGUGUGUACGUAGCCCCCAUAAAUAGAAGCACAUAACUAAUUAACUCACCUAUGGGGGCAAUUCCCUCUUAUAAGGUUAGAAAGGAGACUCACCUUGCUCCGAAGAUCCAUAAUCGACAUUUCACACCAUUUCCGAAGACUCUAAUUGAUGAACAAACUCCAAAGCUAGACAAUAAUGAUACUGAUCCAUUAAUAUAUAAUUUAUUCUCAAUUCCAUGCCCAAAAUCGUGGUCAAAUUCCAAGAACAUCAAUUUUCUAGGUUUUCAUCAAAACCUCUUGAUUUUCCUUAAUUUUUACAUGUUAAUCUACCCAUAAUCUAUGUAUUUAAGUUAAGAUGCAUAUAAAUUACUUACCUCUUUUAUGAUGACAGAAUCCCUACUCAAAUGCUCUCGAAAAUUGCCUAAUGCCAAGUGGAAAAUGAGGGAAAUGGGCUAAGUUUCGAAUUAAAAAGCCACAGCUCCAGACACAGAAGUCGCAUUUGACUCCAAACUCGCAAUUGCGAUGUCGCAUUUGUGACAAAAGCUUCGCAAAUACGAAGCCCGGCCUUCCCUAACAAAGUUACAUUUGCGAUAAAAUUCCUCGGAAUGCGAAGAGGACAGCAUUGCAAAAACGAUGGCCUCUUCGCAAAUACGAUUCCCCACUCAGUAGCCCGGGUUCGCAAAUGCGAGAAGGGACUCACUAAUGCGAAGUCGUAUUUGCAACCAUUGCAUCGCAAAUGCGAUCCUCCACGCAACAGUCCAAGCUCACAAAUGCGAAUGGAACCUCGCAAAUGCGAGGUCGCAAUUGCGAUCAUACCAGCACCAGAAAUUCCUAUUUUUAGCAAAUCACUCCGAAGCUAUCCCAAAUCUCACCCGAGCCCCCGGGACUCCAAACCAAACACUCGCACAAGUGUAAAAACAUAACAUGGACUUGCUCUAGGCGUCAAAUCAUACCAAACAACACUAAAAUCAUGAAUCAACCUCCAAUUCACGUUUUUUGAACAUUAGAACAUCAAACUUCUACUUUCGAAUCUGAAACCUAUCAAAUCACAUCCGAUUGACUUCAAAUUUUGCACACAAGUCAUAUUUGACAUUACGGACCUACUCCAACUUUCAGAAUUGAAUUUCGAUCCCGAUAUCAAAGAGUCCACUUCCGGUCAAACUUCUUAAAAACCUUUGAAUUUAUAUCUUUAGCCAAAUGGCUCCAAAAUGACCCACGGACCUCCGAAUUCACUUCCGAUAACGCUCCAAACUCCAAAAUCAUAAUACGAAGCUGCUCCCAAACUCCGAAUUCCAAACAGACAUCGAUGUCACUAAAAUUCACUUCACCCCAAACUUAUAAAUUUCUUUCAAAAUGCUACUUCCCACAAUAGGCGCCAAAAUGCUCUCGGGUCGUCCAGUACCUCCGAUUCGGGCAUACGCCCAAGUCCAAAGUCAUCAUAUGAACCUGCUUGAACCUUCAGAUCCCGAUUUCGAGGUUGUUGACUCAAAAUUCCAAUCCUAGUUAAUUCUUUCAACUUUAAGCUUCCUAAAUGAGAAUUUUCUUUCUAAAUCAACUCUGAACUUCCUAAUACUAAAUUCUGACCACGUGUACAAGACAUAACACCUAAAAUGAAGUUGUUCAUGGCCUCAGACUGCUGAACGAUGUGAUAGAGCUCAAAACAAUCGGUCGGGUCGUUUCAGAAACCCUACCCAUAGUCACAAUGAUUCAUUUAUGCUCUUAAAAAUUUUUCUAUCCAAAAUGUGAUGGGCCUAGACAUGCGUACUUCUAUCAUUCAAUUAAUGAAAGCAGAUUCGUAACAUUUUAAAGUUUAAUUUUGACUGACUUAUGCCAAUCCAAGCUCAAAUUAUUAUUUGUUUCUUUUAGUCUAGUUCUAUAUUCCAAUUUUCAUACUCAGCAUCCAAAUACAAUCCCUCAUAGAACUCUAACUUACCCAAGAAUAUGAAAAUUAAAACAGAUCCAAAUGAAAAUGAAUUAAUAUUGAGGAUUCAUAUAAUAGAAUCCUUGAGGAAUAGUACCUACUGCUCAUAAAUUAGUUAUAGAACAUUCAAGAUUAUAUCACAAACAAUAAAAAGGGAGAAAAAAACUAAAUCACACCCCAUCCUAAAGUAGAUAACGUUAUGCAAACAAAAAAAUCUUUAACACGGAUAAGAGCAUAUCAAGAACAAGAAUACAAACAAGGGGAAAGUACCAGAAAUGUUUUGAGAUAUGAGAGUAGUGUCAACUCUAAAGUGAUCCUCGGACGAGCUAUGGACCCGGAACCGGAAUCAACAACCUCGAACUCAAACUCGAAUCUCCUACGCGCAACUCCGUUCUGUUUCAAUUUUCUUUUCGAAAUAACAUUGAACAAAGAAGCUAAAACACAUUUGGAACUUUCUAUCUGAAUAACUAAAACUAGAAGGAGAAGCCGAUUUUUCUGGUCUCAAAGACGGUGACCAUGGAGAUUUUUUUCCUUUCUUUAUUUUAGGAGGGUGUGGCUAGCUUUUGUUUGUUUUUUUUAUUGUACGUGUGUGUGCUUCUGCUUGUAGCAGUGACGAAGCUCGGCAGCAAUGGAGGAUGGUUAGCGACAGCGAGGUCACAGGGUUUGGGUAGGGGAAGUUGUUGGUGGUUGACGCUUGGGUGUGUAGAAGAAAAGAGUAGAAGAGGGGGUGCUGUUAUGAUUGUGGAUGCCUGUGAUGGUGUGGAUGGGUUCUAGAGUUUCUUUGAGUGAAGAAGAUGAUGUUGAGAUGAGGGGUCUCUAGGUUAGGGGUAACGGCUGAUCAUUUAGGGUAGGGAUUCUAGGUUGAAA